CCUUUGUACACACCGCCCGUCGCUACUACCGAUUGAAUGGCUCAGUGAGGCCUUCGGACUGGCCCAGAGAGGGCGGCAACGCCAACUCAGGGCCGGAAAGUUGGUCAAACUCGGUCAUUUAGAGG
rnacentral:rRNA from 1 species